CUUUUACAACAGCCUGUCCCGGAAAUGCUGCAAUCAUGAAAGCCAAGAGUACCUUCAUUGCUUCCAAGUGACUCUGAUCUGACUGGGAAGAGACACAAACAUGCUUUAAGGAUUUCCUGUUGGCAUGGGAAAUCCAAUGAUGUGCUCAAGAACCAGAAUACUCUUAGAAUGCAGAGAAGUACAACUGUUGCACUCAUGGAAAAGGCCUUUGGCUUCUGUGAACGUAGAAGGUACAAUAUUUGUGAAUAGUAAAAUCUACCAAACUGAUGAUUACCAAGGGAUUUUAA